rnacentral:rRNA from 1 species
GAGUUUGAUCGUGGCUCAGAUUGAACGCUGGCGGCAGGCCUAACACAUGCAAGUCGGGCGGUAGAGAGAAGCUUGCUUCUCUUGAGAGCGGCGGACGGGUGAGUAAUGCCUAGGAAUCUGCCUGGUAGUGGGGGAUAACGCUCGGAAACGGACGCUAAUACCGCAUACGUCCUACGGGAGAAAGCAGGGGACCUUCGGGCCUUGCGCUAUCAGAUGAGCCUAGGUCGGAUUAGCUAGUUGGUGAGGUAAUGGCUCACCAAGGCGACGAUCCGUAACUGGUCUGAGAGGAUGAUCAGUCACACUGGAACUGAGACACGGUCCAGACUCCUACGGGAGGCAGCAGUGGGGAAUAUUGGACAAUGGGCGAAAGCCUGAUCCAGCCAUGCCGCGUGUGUGAAGAAGGUCUUCGGAUUGUAAAGCACUUUAAGUUGGGAGGAAGGGCAGUAAAUUAAUACUUUGCUGUUUUGACGUUACCGACAGAAUAAGCAACCGGCUAACUCUGUGCCAGCAG